rnacentral:rRNA from 1 species
UUCAGAGCCAUACAUCACCCUGCAGCUCUCACCUGGCAUCCCACUGGGGCUAAGCAGGGUUGAGCCUGGCCAGUACCUGGAUGGGAGAAAACUGGGGAAAACUUGUGUUCCUGCUGGAA